rnacentral:rRNA from 1 species
UAGAGUUUGAUCCUGGCUCAGGACGAACGCUGGCGGCGUGCCUAAUACAUGCAAGUCGAGCGGACCGACGGGAGCUUGCUCCCUUAGGUCAGCGGCGGACGGGUGAGUAACACGUGGGUAACCUGCCUGUAAGACUGGGAUAACUCCGGGAAACCGGGGCUAAUACCGGAUGCUUGAUUGAACCGCAUGGUUCAAUCAUAAAAGGUGGCUUUCAGCUACCACUUGCAGAUGGACCCGCGGCGCAUUAGCUAGUUGGUGAGGUAACGGCUCACCAAGGCGACGAUGCGUAGCCGACCUGAGAGGGUGAUCGGCCACACUGGGACUGAGACACGGCCCAGACUCCUACGGGAGGCAGCAGUAGGGAAUCUUCCGCAAUGGACGAAAGUCUGACGGAGCAACGCCGCGUGAGUGAUGAAGGUUUUCGGAUCGUAAAACUCUGUUGUUAGGGAAGAACAAGUACCGUUCGAAUAGGGCGGUACCUUGACGGUACCUAACCAGAAAGCCACGGCUAACUACGUGCCAGCAGCCGCGGUAAUACGUAGGUGGCAAGCGUUGUCCGGAAUUAUUGGGCGUAAAGCGCGCGCAGGCGGUUUCUUAAGUCUGAUGUGAAAGCCCCCGGCUCAACCGGGGAGGGUCAUUGGAAACUGGGGAACUUGAGUGCAGAAGAGGAGAGUGGAAUUCCACGUGUAGCGGUGAAAUGCGUAGAGAUGUGGAGGAACACCAGUGGCGAAGGCGACUCUCUGGUCUGUAACUGACGCUGAGGCGCGAAAGCGUGGGGAGCGAACAGGAUUAGAUACCCUGGUAGUCCACGCCGUAAACGAUGAGUGCUAAGUGUUAGAGGGUUUCCGCCCUUUAGUGCUGCAGCAAACGCAUAAGC